AGCGUACACGGUGGAUGCCCUGGCAGUCAGAGGCGAUGAAGGACGUGCUAAUCUGCGAUAAGCGUCGGUAAGGUGAUAUGAACCGUUAUAACCGGCGAUUUCCGAAUGGGGAAACCCAGUGUGUUUCGACACACUAUCAUUAACUGAAUCCAUAGGUUAAUGAGGCGAACCGGGGGAACUGAAACAUCUAAGUACCCCGAGGAAAAGAAAUCAACCGAGAUUCCCCCAGUAGCGGCGAGCGAACGGGGAGCAGCCCAGAGCCUGAAUCAGUGUGUGUGUUAGUGGAAGCGUCUGGAAAGGCGCGCGAUACAGGGUGACAGCCCCGUACACAAAAAUGCACAUAUUGUGAGCUCGAUGAGUAGGGCGGGACACGUGGUAUCCUGUCUGAAUAUGGGGGGACCAUCCUCCAAGGCUAAAUACUCCUGACUGACCGAUAGUGAACCAGUACCGUGAGGGAAAGGCGAAAAGAACCCCGGCGAGGGGAGUGAAAAAGAACCUGAAACCGUGUACGUACAAGCAGUGGGAGCACGCUUAGGCGUGUGACUGCGUACCUUUUGUAUAAUGGGUCAGCGACUUAUAUUCUGUAGCAAGGUUAACCGAAUAGGGGAGCCGAAGGGAAACCGAGUCUUAACUGGGCGUUAAGUUGCAGGGUAUAGACCCGAAACCCGGUGAUCUAGCCAUGGGCAGGUUGAAGGUUGGGUAACACUAACUGGAGGACCGAACCGACUAAUGUUGAAAAAUUAGCGGAUGACUUGUGGCUGGGGGUGAAAGGCCAAUCAAACCGGGAGAUAGCUGGUUCUCCCCGAAAGCUAUUUAGGUAGCGCCUCGUGAAUUCAUCUCCGGGGGUAGAGCACUGUUUCGGCAAGGGGGUCAUCCCGACUUACCAACCCGAUGCAAACUGCGAAUACCGGAGAAUGUUAUCACGGGAGACACACGGCGGGUGCUAACGUCCGUCGUGAAGAGGGAAACAACCCAGACCGCCAGCUAAGGUCCCAAAGUCAUGGUUAAGUGGGAAACGAUGUGGGAAGGCCCAGACAGCCAGGAUGUUGGCUUAGAAGCAGCCAUCAUUUAAAGAAAGCGUAAUAGCUCACUGGUCGAGUCGGCCUGCGCGGAAGAUGUAACGGGGCUAAACCAUGCACCGAAGCUGCGGCAGCGACGCUUAUGCGUUGUUGGGUAGGGGAGCGUUCUGUAAGCCUGUGAAGGUGUGCUGUGAGGUAUGCUGGAGGUAUCAGAAGUGCGAAUGCUGACAUAAGUAACGAUAAAGCGGGUGAAAAGCCCGCUCGCCGGAAGACCAAGGGUUCCUGUCCAACGUUAAUCGGGGCAGGGUGAGUCGACCCCUAAGGCGAGGCCGAAAGGCGUAGUCGAUGGGAAACAGGUUAAUAUUCCUGUACUUGGUGUUACUGCGAAGGGGGGACGGAGAAGGCUAUGUUGGCCGGGCGACGGUUGUCCCGGUUUAAGCGUGUAGGCUGGUUUUCCAGGCAAAUCCGGAAAAUCAAGGCUGAGGCGUGAUGACGAGGCACUACGGUGCUGAAGCAACAAAUGCCCUGCUUCCAGGAAAAGCCUCUAAGCAUCAGGUAACAUCAAAUCGUACCCCAAACCGACACAGGUGGUCAGGUAGAGAAUACCAAGGCGCUUGAGAGAACUCGGGUGAAGGAACUAGGCAAAAUGGUGCCGUAACUUCGGGAGAAGGCACGCUGAUAUGUAGGUGAGGUCCCUCGCGGAUGGAGCUGAAAUCAGUCGAAGAUACCAGCUGGCUGCAACUGUUUAUUAAAAACACAGCACUGUGCAAACACGAAAGUGGACGUAUACGGUGUGACGCCUGCCCGGUGCCGGAAGGUUAAUUGAUGGGGUUAGCGCAAGCGAAGCUCUUGAUCGAAGCCCCGGUAAACGGCGGCCGUAACUAUAACGGUCCUAAGGUAGCGAAAUUCCUUGUCGGGUAAGUUCCGACCUGCACGAAUGGCGUAAUGAUGGCCAGGCUGUCUCCACCCGAGACUCAGUGAAAUUGAACUCGCUGUGAAGAUGCAGUGUACCCGCGGCAAGACGGAAAGACCCCGUGAACCUUUACUAUAGCUUGACACUGAACAUUGAGCCUUGAUGUGUAGGAUAGGUGGGAGGCUUGGAAGUGUGGACGCCAGUCUGCAUGGAGCCGACCUUGAAAUACCACCCUUUAAUGUUUGAUGUUCUAACGUUGACCCGUAAUCCGGGUUGCGGACAGUGUCUGGUGGGUAGUUUGACUGGGGCGGUCUCCUCCUAAAGAGUAACGGAGGAGCACGAAGGUUGGCUAAUCCUGGUCGGACAUCAGGAGGUUAGUGCAAUGGCAUAAGCCAGCUUGACUGCGAGCGUGACGGCGCGAGCAGGUGCGAAAGCAGGUCAUAGUGAUCCGGUGGUUCUGAAUGGAAGGGCCAUCGCUCAACGGAUAAAAGGUACUCCGGGGAUAACAGGCUGAUACCGCCCAAGAGUUCAUAUCGACGGCGGUGUUUGGCACCUCGAUGUCGGCUCAUCACAUCCUGGGGCUGAAGUAGGUCCCAAGGGUAUGGCUGUUCGCCAUUUAAAGUGGUACGCGAGCUGGGUUUAGAACGUCGUGAGACAGUUCGGUCCCUAUCUGCCGUGGGCGCUGGAGAACUGAGGGGGGCUGCUCCUAGUACGAGAGGACCGGAGUGGACGCAUCACUGGUGUUCGGGUUGUCAUGCCAAUGGCACUGCCCGGUAGCUAAAUGCGGAAGAGAUAAGUGCUGAAAGCAUCUAAGCACGAAACUUGCCCCGAGAUGAGUUCUCCCUGACUCCUUGA
rnacentral:rRNA from 1 species